rnacentral:snRNA from 1 species
GGGCUCGGUUCGGCAGCACAUAUACUAAAAUUGGAACAAUACAGAGAAGAUUAGCAUGGCCUCUGUGCAAGGAUGAGACACAAAUUCGUGAAGCGUUCCAUAAAAAA